UACGUAGGUGGCAAGCGUUGUCCGGAUUUACUGGGCGUAAAGGGCGUGCAGGCGGUUUGUUAAGUGCAGGGUGAAAGCUCCCGGCUCAACUGGGAGAGGUCCUUGCAUACUGGCAGACUUGAGGGAGGCAGAGGAAGGUGGAAUUCCCGGUGUAGUGGUGAUAUGCGUAGAUAUCGGGAGGAACACCAGUGGCGAAGGCGACUACCUGGCCUGUUCUUGACGCUGAGGCGCGAAAGCUAGGGGAGCAAACGGG
rnacentral:rRNA from 1 species